rnacentral:rRNA from 1 species
AGUGAACGCUGGCGGUAUGCCUAACACAUGCAAGUCGAACGGCAGCACAGUAAUAGCUUGCUCUUACGGGUGGCGAGUGGCGGACGGGUGAGGAAUGCAUCGUAAUCUACUUUUUGGGGGGGGAUAACGUAGGGGAAGUUACGCUCAUACCGCAUACGACCUACGGGUGAGAGCAGGGGAUCUUCUGGGCUUUCGCGAUUGAAUGCGCGGAUGUCGGGUUAGCUAGUUGGCGGGGUAAUGGCCAACCCAGUGGGCGAUUCGUAGCUGGUGUGAGAGGAUGGUCGGCGACACUGGAACGGAGACACGGUCCAGACUCCUGCGAGAGGCAGCAGUGGGGAAUAGUAGACAAUGGGGGGAAGCCUUACACAGCCAGACCGCGUGGGUGAAAGAGGCCUUCCGGUUGGAAAGACCGUUUUUUGGGAAAGAAAAGCAGCAGGUUAAUACCCCGCUGUUCUGACGGUACCCAAAGAAUAAGCACCGGCUAACUUCGUG